rnacentral:rRNA from 1 species
CCUAUAAGACUGGGAUAACUUCGGGAAACCGGAGCUAAUACCGGAUAACAUUUAGAACCGCAUGGUUCUAAAGUGAAAGAUGGUUUUUGCUAUCACUUAUAGAUGGACCCGCGCCGUAUUAGCUAGUUGGUAAGGUAACGGCUUACCAAGGCGACGAUACGUAGCCGACCUGAGAGGGUGAUCGGCCACACUGGAACUGAGACACGGUCCAGACUCCUACGGGAGGCAGCAGUAGGGAAUCUUCCGCAAUGGGCGAAAGCCUGACGGAGCAACGCCGCGUGAGUGAUGAAGGGUUUCGGCUCGUAAAACUCUGUUAUUAGGGAAGAACAAAUGUGUAAGUAACUGUGCACAUCUUGACGGUACCUAAUCAGAAAGCCACGGCUAACUACGUGCCAGCAGCCGCGGUAAUACGUAGGUGGCAAGCGUUAUCCGGAAUUAUUGGGCGUAAAGCGCGCGUAGGCGGUUUCUUAAGUCUGAUGUGAAAGCCCACGGCUCAACCGUGGAGGGUCAUUGGAAACUGGGAAACUUGAGUGCAGAAGAGGAAAGUGGAAUUCCAUGUGUAGCGGUGAAAUGCGCAGAGAUAUGGAGGAACACCAGUGGCGAAGGCGACUUUCUGGUCUGUAACUGACGCUGAUGUGCGAAAGCGUGGGGAUCAAACAGGAUUAGAUACCCUGGUAGUCCACGCCGUAAACGAUGAGUGCUAAGUGUUUAGGGGGUUUCCGCCCCUUAGUGCUGCAGCUAACGCAUUAAGCACUCCGCCUGGGGAGUACGACCCAAGGUUGAAACUCAA